rnacentral:rRNA from 1 species
UGACCUGGCGGCAGCUUACCAUGCAAGUCGAACGAGGUUAGGGAGCUUGCUCCUGAUACCUAGUGGCGAACGGGUGAGUAAUGCUUAGGAAUCUGCCUAGUAGUGGGGGAUAACUAUCCGAAAGGAUAGCUAAUACCGCAUACGACCUACGGGUGAAAGGGGGCUUUUAGCUCUCGCUAUUAGAUGAGCCUAAGUCGGAUUGGCUAGUUGGUGGGGUAAAGGCCUACCAAGGCGACGAUCUGUAGCUGGUCUGAGAGGAUGAUCAGCCACACUGGGACUGAGACACGGCCCAGACUCCUACGGGAGGCAGCAGUGGGGAAUAUUGGACAAUGGGCGAAAGCCUGAUCCAGCCAUGCCGCGUGUGUGAAGAAGGCCUUUUGGUUGUAAAGCACUUUAAGUAGGGAGGAAAAGCUUGUGGUUAAUACCCACAAGCCCUGACGUUACCUACAGAAUAAGCACCGGCUAACUCUGUGCCAGCAGCCGCGGUAAU